AGUGGCGAAUUAACAUUUCUUUCAACAGCACUUGACCAAAGGCCAAUGAGCUCUUACAUUGUGUCUGGGGCUGUGGCUGGGACACUUCUCUUCUUGCUGGUGCUUGGUAUCCUUUUGUGGAGAUGGAGACAGAGCUCCAAAGAACCACUUCAAAGCAGGUCAGAGGCAGAGAUGAAUCAGAUGGAGACGUCUUCUCCUCCACCAGCUGAUCUGGUGACUUACGUUGACUUGAACUCCCACAAAAGGGACAAAAAAGCAGAGGAAGAGGUUGUUUACACGGAAGUGAAGAUACGGCCAAAACAGAGAGAUGACAAUGACAUCUACGCAAAAGUCAACCCUCGUCAUCGCUAGGGGAAGAGCCAGUGGGAAUUAACAGAGGAGUGACCAGCAUUUCACAUGUCCAUGAAAUGCAAAUCUCCAUGAAAAAAUGAAUUAGCUCUUAGUAAAAGAUGUCCUUGAAGAUCAAAGUCCUCUAGUUAUGAACAGAGCAGGUAGCAGUGCAAGAUUCCCUCAUUUCCUGCUCCACCAACAUGCCUCAACUGUGAUCUGGAGAGACCAAUUCUGUGGGUAAACGGAGAGUUCUGCUAACCCAUAUACUCUUGGCCUAUGUGCUGUGAUUGCAGCCAGGAAACGGGUUGUGCAGUGGACAGUGUUUCAAUAGGAACUGAGUCGAGACCAGAAAUUCAUUUAACAAACUCACCAGUCAUCAGAGGGUCCUGUGGCACCUUUAAGACUAACAGAAGUAUUGGGAACAUAAGCUUUCGUGGGUAAGAACCUCACUUCUUCAGAUGCAAGUAAUGGAAAUUUCCAGAGGCAGGUAUAAAUCAGUAUGGAGAUAAUGAGCCUGGCUGAAGUCAUUAAGGUUUUCAACCAUUUACACCAAGACUGUACAUGUGCCUUACAAUAUCGAUAAGAAUGGCCAGGCUGGGUCAGAUCAAUGGUUCAUCUCGCCCAGUAUCCUGUCUUUGACCAGUGCCAGAUACUUCAGAGGGAAUGAACAGUACAGGGCAAUUUCAAGUGAUCUAUCCCCUGUUGUCUAGUCCCCCCUUAUGACAGUUGGGGGUUGAGAGACACCACACUGAAUGACUAAGCUGUGUACAAAAUACACAGCGGUUGCCCUAAACACUACAUCUUACAGCAGAAUUACUGCUAGUGGUUUAGGACAUUACUAUACAGUACUGCAUCUACUUCUUACCACACCAAAUACUUCCAUUCAUCCAGCCCAUACUUCUUUAACUUGCUGGCAAGAAUACUGUGGGAGACCGUAUCAAGAGCUUUGCUAAAGUCAAGAAAUAACACAUCCACUGCUUUCCCCUCAUCCACAGAGCCAGUUAUCUCAUCAUAGAAGGCA
rnacentral:lncRNA from 1 species